rnacentral:lncRNA from 1 species
GGAAACAAGCUGCUAAAAGAUCCACUCUUUCACUCCCUGUUUUCCGGUCUCCUUCUCCAAGUUAUGCAUAGCUGAAAACCGCUUUAUCCUUAUACAAGCUUUUCAGAACAUUGCAGUAACAUCAAGAGUUACUUGCUGGUAUUUGCCAAGCCUUCAAUUGCAUUGCCAUACAGCCAGCUAGAAGAGAGUCCCACAGAAGGAUGCACCAAAAAGCAGCCAUCCCUGCAA